UGCCAGGGGACAGCCCCCUCCAAUGCUGGAGCCACACCCUUGAUGGAGGGCCCCGGUGGGUGAGGUCUGUAGCUCCUGGAAACAGACCCCAGAGCGGCGGCAAGAAAGGAGUUGGUCUCCACAAUCCGCCCAAAGCCAAGAAGACUUUGGAUAAGUCAUUAUGGAGAAAGCUAAGGAUCCCUGCGUUGUCUUGAAAGCACACCAGCCGGGAAAUCAGAAGGCCUGGGUUUGAAUUCCAGUUACUCACAAAUGUAAGUGAAAGCGGGCAGGCCAGUGACUCCAGCUCAGCCACACCAUGGAGGAUGUCUCUGUGGUCUCAUGUCCACCUUCAUUUGCAAGAUGUCUGCCACAGUUCCAGAUAAUCCAUGGGACCCCAGGGGAAAGAAGACAACUCCUCCCGUAUUGUGACAACUAGCAGGCACACAAAAGUGAACAUCACGUGGGCCUUGACUUGGAGAGCUAGCAAGCAAACGGGCAUCCCAUGUCAUUUCAAAAUUGUAUAGUAAGCAAGGAGAGGCAUGCAGUGUUCUGGAAGCACAGAGAAGGAUCCCUCAGCUCUACUGAGGGAUGAUUCCUGGGGAGAGACCAAGUGGACUGGCUAUAGAUGCUGAGAAUGAGUUUGACUAUAAAGACAAUGCUGUAAGUAAUCUUUACACCUGACACAGGGCUCAAACUCAUGACCCGAGAUCAAGAGUCACAUGCUCUUCUGACUGAGCCAGCCAGGUGCCCCUAAACUACUGUUACAUAGUGACAUGGUUUGCACCUUCAGCCAUCAAGGCGGUUGAAAAAGAAAAUAAUCUGUCCCUCUGGAUUCUAGUUAUGGCUCUGCACCCCAGCACCUGUAAACUCAAAGUCAAAACUCCAUGGAUGCCUGGAUUCCAAGAUUAAACCUCUACUCACAAGCAAAAGGGUUGGUUGGAUAGGAGGUGGGGACAAGAAAUUGUUUGUUUAGAGAGAGAGAGAGCUCUCUAGAGAAAGAAGUAGAGAGAGAAAGCACACGCGAGAGAAUCCCACACAGGCUCUACACUCAAUGUAGAGCCUCACGCUGGGAACACGACCUGAGAUGAAAUCAAGAGUCGGAUACUCAACUGACUGAGCCACCCAGGUGCCCCCCAAAUUAUUUCUAAUUAAAGAAGUGGAACUUACAAGCAAUGGUAAUGAAACUUCAGCUGAAAAAUACUAGACUUUCUAAUGCAUUUGGAUAUUAGGAGCUGUGAUGCCUUGAACUUCAUCUGUGGACUCUAAAAAAUGCAAAAGAGCUGGAGAGAAAUGGCUACCUGCUGUGGAAGACCAGGCCCACCCUGUAUCCUCAGCCCUCUGCUCUCUUGCCUUUGGGCCUAAAACUAUGUGUGGACAAGAAGAGCAGCUGUCGCUAUAUGUUUGAAGGCACCCAGCUGGGGGUGGACAACAUCGAGACCUGCAUCCAGAAGACAUUUUGUGGCUCCAAGGAAGGACAAGGUCCUAGGCAUGAGGUUGCAGGGGAAUAAAUUCCCCCCAGCUACAUCCAAAUGGGAUGCUUGACCAGACUGUCAGCUUGCUUCCUGGUAUUACCACCCCAUAGUGAAAAGCAAUCCACAUAAGGAGCUCCAGCACCAGCAAAAGGUAAUGCAAAGAAGAGAGGAGAGAAAAGGCUUCCAGGUUCACCUUUUCCCACCAUCUAGGGAAAGCACUAGAGAAUGAAGGUCAGCAUAAACAGAAGCACUCCUUUCUCUGAACUAAAAGCAGAAGAGAUAGGCAUUCCUCUUGCUGCAUGUGGGUGAAUAGAGAUGGAUUCCAGAAGAAUAAGAGAAAAAGGAAUGUCAGAGUUGAAAGUGAUGUUUUACCCCCGGUCCAUCCUCAUUCUUACAUCCAAGAACCAACUGAGGGCGAAGAGGUGAAAAGGCUUUGCCUGAGGCUACACAGAGGCCUGGGUUCCACAGGGAGGCUGAAGGAGGAAGGCAGCUGAGGUUUUUAGUGGUUUGACAUUGAGCUCCUGUCCAUAGCUCAGGUGCUUCACCCUGAUUAAAUCCUGACGUAACUGUAGGAAGUUGUGUCAUUACCCCCAUUUUAUAGAUGAAAACCCUGAUGGUCAGGAAGUCCUGGGACGAGACAAAAGCUGUUCAGUGGAAACUUUCUGAGGCUAACACUGCAAAGUAUCCUUGGCCUUGACUCUGCCCCUGAGCAGCCUUAUCUGUAGGGUGACCACAUGCUCUGGUUCACCUGAAUCAAGCCUGGUUUAUACCUGUUGUCCCAGGGUCAGUAGUAAUGGCACCUUCUUUUACUCUUAAAAGUGCCCCAGUCGGGAUAAUCCAUUUAUCAUGUGAUUACUCUAGUAUCUACAAAAUGGGGUAUUCAUAUUACCUGCUCAUGGAGUUUUCGCAAGGAAUCAAUGGGAUUUCACACGUAAAAUGCAUGGCAUCUGGCAUGUAGUAAGCACUAAAUAGAUGUUAGUGGUUAUUGUUACUGUUAUUAUUAUUAUUAUUAGGAAGGUAUCUGAAGAGGGGGCAGCAAGGAGUAAAGACAUGGUUUCCCACUUGACAUGCCCAUCACGGUCUCCACGAAUGGCGCUCCCUGGAGUUGGGCAGUGCCUAUUCAAACUGACCUGUUGGGAAUGGCACCAUCCACUCUAGCCUAGAGGCCAUCUGGAGGCACUGAGCUUGCCUCUUCCACCUCUCCAUCAGUCACAUUCACUGCUUGGGUCUCUUUGGGUCCCAAAGUUGAAACUGAUUUUUUUUCCCUUUUACUCUAAAGUCUAAAGCUUAGAUUUCUUAAAGAGGAAGAAGAGUCACAGAGAAUCCUAUAGAGGAUCCCCUCCCCCCAGCCCCAGCCUGUGCUUAAUUAAGUGAGUGGCUUAAGGGACUUGCCUCCUCUUCAAGAUUAAGAGGUGGGUGUGAAUAUUUUCCUCUGGCCCCCUUAUAUGUUCUUGAUUACAGUAAUAAAAAUGCUAAGCUCUAUUGCCUCUCACUGGAGUAAAGGCAGCUGAAAACUCCUCAUUCCCUGAAGAACCUAAUUGUUGAUUCUAGUGCAUCUAAACAGGUGUUCUUUAGAUUGCUUUUUCUAAUGCCUUUUCACUGGAAAGAUCAAUUUAAAUGUUGCUUUGAGCUAAUCAGUGAUUGCUUCUGUAUUCAUCCAAAUUUAUAUCUUUGCUUCUGCGUGCUAGAUGAGACAUUACUUUCAAAGUCUAUAAACUUAAAUAAGGGAGGUGAUUUCUAAUUUAGCUCUUUGUCCUCUUCUGUCUUCCAUAUUUUAUGCAAAAUAUGCAUGUAUUUCUUUUUGUUAUUUAAAAUCCUAGUUGAAACCUGUGUUUGAACGUCCUGAGUCAUCUUUGGAUGUCCUAUAACGCCACGGGUGGUAUGUCCUACAGAGUGGGUAUUCAAUAAAUAUUUGUGGAAAAGAUAAAUUCAUGCCUUAACCUGGAUUGCAAGCACAUUGGAUUUGUGGUCCCUAGGUGUCUGAGUUCAGGAAUUCUUUCAAUAUUGUCUGAACUUUCUUGUGUCUGCAUCUGUGUUUAUUCUGCUCUCUCUGCCUAGAAUUUCCCCAGUCCCGUCUCUCAGAAAGCUCACGUUCACGCAAGGUUCUCAUCAAAUGCCAGCUGCUCCAUGAAACCAGGCUGCAGUCUCCAACCAGCUCUCCUGGAGUCAGUAUCCGAACAAGCGAUCUGGAGAGGGUUGCAUCUGAUUUUCCAAACCCCACGGUACUCUGCACCUCUUUGAUUUAUCUCAUCUGUGGGUAUUUGCUCCUGGCCUUUUUUCACCCAUGGUGAGCACGUGAAACUUCUUCAGGCGACACAGAGGGUGUACUCUGCUGAACCACAGGUACAGACUAAAAAAUAGUUGUUGCUUAAUGAAUUGUAGGUGUAUAGUUUUGAAGAAUGACAUUUUAUUUCUUUUUUUUUUUUUUAAGUUUUAUUUAUUUUUGAGAGAGAGGGAGGGGGAGGAUUAGAGAGACAGGAAGACACAGAAUCUGAAGCAGGCUCCAGGCUCUGAGCUGUCAGCAAAUAGUCUGACACGGGGCUUGAACCCAUGAAACAUGAGAUCAUGGCCUGAGCCGAAGGCCUAUGCUUAACCGACUGAGCCACCCAGGCGCCCCAAGAAUGAUGUUUUAAAGUAAAGUGUACCCGGAUGGAGAAAUGAUGGAUGUGGCUCUUCAAUCAAGUCCUCAGAACAUAAUCCUUUAGAACUUGCAGGCCAUCUAUCAGCACUCUCUCUUUCACACGCAAAGAACCCCUGGUUCCGAGAGUCCUGGGUCUUCCUUAAGGUCACCUGGCGGGGAAAGACCAGAAUUCAGCCAGCAGAUCUUCUGUAGUGCUCUUCCAGACAUACCUUCAGGCAUAAUUUAACAUGUAUCAGUUUAUCCUUGAGUGUAAAGUACACUUCAUGAUUGGUGACCGGCUAACUAUUCAUAGUUCCUCACUCCCUCCCUUUUAGUGCCUGUUUCUAAGCAGCAAAGUUGUGGUUCAGUGACUUCUGUCUGGAUAAUAUGAAAACAGGGCACCCGGCCAAUUUUGAUGAGCUAACUAUUUCCCUAAAUUAUCAUGCCUAAGCAAAAGGCCCCAAACCUGCUGUUCAACACUUAUCAUUGGAUCUGGGGGAUGGGCUCUACACAGGCAUAUCAUCAAAUAACUGGAAUUUUACAUUUGCGAUUGUCAAGCAGUGAAAAUUGUCAUCCUUAGAAAUGACUGACAGUUCCCCUGCCUCAUUUCUGCUACACUGAGUUAGAUAAAGAAAAAAAAAUCACCUUCACUCUUUUUACAGAUUUCUUGCUGAAGACCCAUGUGACAGGACUAUAAAUUUUCACUAGAAAUUGAUGGGAGAACGGACACUUCAAAGUGCCUGAAAGACUUUGCAAAAGGUCCCAAUUAGCAGAAUGCAGCUAACACCUUAAAAAAAGAAAAUAGAAUAAAUGUUGCAGUGGGAAUGAAUCUUGCCUGGAGUGCUGGGUUGUUGGCUGAUUGCCUGGCGAGAGUGGUGGCCAGGACUUGCCAGCUGGCUGAUCCACACGCCUAUAAAGGAUGCGGUCAGCUUACACCUUGGCAAGCUACAAUUUUGAUGGAAAUCUUAGAGGUCGGCAGGCGUUCUCCCUAGUAAAGUACGUUAGAUCAGGUCAUUGCUUUUAUUUGAGUGAAGAAAAUAUCCUGAUGGCCAGGAUUAGGAACACCAAGUCAGUACUCUGCUCCAAAGGAGAAUUCAUUACUGCAUCAGAAGGGAUAUAUGCCCUAAAGGAGACAGAGGGUGUAAUUGAAGGUGGCACAUUCAUCUAAUCCCCACGUUAAACCAGUCAUGCCACCAAAGCAAACCAACUGGCUCGCCAACAACUACACAUCUUCCCACAAGUUCCACUCAACAACCAGUUUUUCAAACUCUGAACUCCAAAGCUACUGCUUUCCUAUCCUCUUAUGUUUACUCAUAUUUACCUGUGGGUAGUUGUUUCACUUGUUUGUUUUGCAUAGAUCUGACUUCGAGGAUCAGAUGUAAACAUUCUAGUAGCCCCACAAUGGCUAGCUUAGUGCUUUUCAUCUGGAGGCACUCCAUGAAUGACAAAGCUGCCAAAGGAGCUUCCAUAGUCCACAGUCCAUCCUGAAAAUUUAAAAACCAGUUUUAAAAAACUGACAACCUCUCUAUCAGUCUCCCAAAUGGAUUUAUUUUUUUGAAAUUUAUUAAAAACUGACUUUAGGGCACCUGGGUGGCUCAGUCGGUUAAGCGUACGACUUCGGCUCAGGUCAUGAUCUCACAGUUGGUGGGUUCGAGUCCAGCAUCAGGCUGUGUGCUGACAGCUCAGAGCCUGAAGCCUGCUUUGGAUUCUGUGUCUCCCUCUCUCUCUGACCCUCCCCCGCUCAUACUCUCUCUUGCUUUCCCAAAAAUAAAUAAAACAUUUAAAAAUAAAUAAAAAUAACAACUGAUUUUAAUAUUUAUUUUUUAAAAAACAAGCACGUAAAAAUAUCCAGGAAAAAAUACAGUGAACAAAUUCAAAAGUCAAAUACAGACUGUGAAAAUCAUUUGCAAGACUGUAGAUGUAAAUAACAAAGGGUCUAUAUCCUUACUAAAGAAGAGUGGACAAAGAACUUAAUCUGGAAAUUUACAAAAUGUGAAAUGACUAUUUAACAUAUGAAAGCAUUUUCAAACUGAGCAGUAAUGAAUACAAAUGGAACCAGAUACCUCUUUUCAUUUAUCAUAUAAAGAAAAACCCAAGUUGUCCUAGAUAUGGGUUAUUUGAUGCUUUCAUAUACUGGCCAUGCCAAUGCAAAAUAAAACCAGCUUUCCGGAGGGCAAAUUGUCAAUUACUGUCAAUACAUAUUCAAUGUAUAUUCAAAGGUUUAACUGUAUGACCUGCAGAAAUUCAUCCCAAUUGAAUGAGUAGAUCCCAGACAAAUAUUUAAAGAUCUGUGUACAAGCAAACCAGAAGACCCUAAUUGUUGAACAGAAGACUAAUCAAAUGAGGAAAACUCCAUCCAUUCCUUCAUGCAGCUAUUAAACUGAUAAAAUUGAUAUCUAUUAAUUUGAAGAGAAAGAUGUUUACAACAUAAUUAAGAAAAAAAAAAACAGGCCACAGAAAAGUAUGAUCAA